AGGAGCGGCAUGUGUAGGAUAGGCGGGAGGCUGUGAAGGUCGGGCGCCAGCUCGGCCGGAGCCGCCCUUGAAAUACCGCCCUUGGCGUUCUUGAUGUCUAACCGCGCGCCGUGAAGCCGGCGCCGGGACCCUGCAUGGCGGGUAGUUUGACUGGGGCGGUCGCCUCCCAAAUGGUAACGGAGGCGCGCGAUAGGUAGGCUCAGACCGGUCGGAAAUCGGUCGUCGAGUGCAAUGGCAUAAGCCUGCUAGACUGCGAGACUGACAAGUCGAGCAGAGACGAAAGUCGGUCAUAGUGAUCCGGUGGUCCCGCGUGGAAGGGCCAUCGCUCAACGGAUAAAAGGUACGCCGGGGAUAACAGGCUGAUACCCCCCAAGAGUCCACAUCGACGGGGGUGUUUGGCACCUCGAUGUCGGCUC
rnacentral:rRNA from 1 species